GCAGAGUUGACAAACAGUGAGUCAGGUGGCCCGGGGCGUGGGUGCUCCGCCCUCAGGUGCACUGCGUCCUGGCGGCAGUGCGGGCCUGCGAGGCUACCCAAAGCCCUGGGGGCUUUUUCCUACAAAUGCUGGGGACCGUGCGAUAGCUGGGGCGUAGCUGCUUCCACUGUCCUACCAAAUCCUGAAUAUCGUCCACCUCCUUUGCAUGCCAUUCACCGCCAACCAAAAUCCAGCGCCAAUUUACCCCUCCAGCUGCAUCCCCGACCGUUUCACCACCAUACUUAAAACCCUUUGGACUCCCACUGACCUACAGUGGCUCCAGGGUUAAGCCCAGAAGUUCUGGAAUCAGACCUGGAGCUUGCAUUCUUUACCAGCUGUGUGGAUUUGGACAAAUUAAUUAACCUCUCUGAGUCUGUGAUCACUCAGUUUCAUCUGCAAACCAGGGUUCCCCUGUCAACAUCUCAUUGAAGUCAUGGGUCUGGUUUGAGGUCACGAGGCCAAUUCAAGAGGCACAGUUCUCCAAGGAUGGAAGAUGGGGGUGGAGAAGGCAACAAAGAUGGAUGAGCUGGGGCCAUGAUGAUGAGGAUGAUGAUGUUGAUGAUGAUGAUGGUGAUGGCGGCCGAGUGCCCUGUGAUUUACAGGCCCAUCUGGUUUCAUGUUUGCAACAGCCAAUCAAGUGGGUACCAGGUGCCAUCAUUCCCACUUUACAGAUGAGAAGACUGAGCCCCAGACAGGUUAAGUGACUCCCCCAGCCCUGCAAUGAGGAAGGGCCCAGCACAGCUCCAGGCACAACAAGCAGGCACUCCAAGCAUAGGGAGGUCUGGUGGACCAGGCCUGGCCCAGGAGCUUGUCGGCAAGGCAGAGCCGCAUCCAGGCUCCCGGACCAGGAUCCGCACACGAACAACAGGCCCAGGAGUUCCCAUGGCUGUGGCUGCUGGACCCCCGCACCAGGUGGGCUGGCGGCUGUGUCCCACACAUGCUCUCUAGAGCCUGAGAAAUGCUCAUCCUGCAGGCACUCCCCAGGCCUUUAGAGAGGACAUUCUCCCACUCUCUUUUAUGGAAAGCCAUGGAAUCUUCUGUGUGGAUGCAGCCUGGGCAGUCAGAGAGGGGCCUGGCCCUCACGUGGCCGCAGCUGACCCCUCCCCGCCGCAGCUCUCCAGUCUCCUCUGCGACGUGACAGCCCUGGCUUCUCUGCUGUGGGGAGGAGAGUAUUUUUAGUUUUGAACCCACCACGUGAAGCGAGACAAGUUAUCAAUAGCAGCAGCAAAGGGCUUUUUCUUUCUCUCUCUCUUU
rnacentral:lncRNA from 1 species